CAAAUCACAACUGCUGGAAAGACUGAGAGGGUCUAAAUGUGCGGUUCAAUUGGAUGAGUCCACUGAUGUGUCCGGCUCUGCGCGGCUCAUUGCACUGGCGCGAGAGGAGAGGGAGAGCCGCAGAAUGUGACAACAUCAACAGAUAGAAUGCA